rnacentral:rRNA from 1 species
UUAUCAAAAACAUGUCUUUUUGAUAUUUAUUUAAAGUUUAGCCUGCCCAUUGAAUUAUUUUAAAAGGCUGCAGUAUUUUGACUGUACAAAGGUAGCAUAAUCAUUAGUUUUUUAAUUGAAAACUGGAAUGAAAGGUUGGACGAAAUAUAAGCUGUUUCAUAAAAAUUAUAAUAAAACUUUACUUUUUAGUUAAAAGGCUAAAAUUGAAUUUAAAGACGAGAAGACCCUAUAGAAUUUUAUAAUUUUAAAAAUUUAAAUUUAUAAGAAUUUUUAGGUUUAAAUUAGUAAAAUUAUUUUGUUGGGGUGACAAUAAAAUUUAAUAAUCUUUUAUUGUAAUUUUAACAAUUAUUCAUGAUUAAUUGAUCCAUUUUUAGUGAUUUAAGAUUAAAUUACCUUAGGGAUAACAGCGUAAUUUUUUUGGAGAGUUCUUAUCAAUAAAAAAUUUUGCGACCUCGAUGUUGGAUUAAGAUUAAUUUUAGGUGUAGAAGCUUAAGUAUUAGGUCUGUUCGACCUUUAAAUUCUUACGUGAUCUGAGU